rnacentral:rRNA from 1 species
CGUCAAAGAUUAAAACAUGCAUAUCUGUAUAAACUUUUACGGUGAAACAAUGAACGGCACAUUUAAUCAGUUGUAAUGUAUAGUACUUUAUUCCAGUAGGUUAAUACGGGCAAAUCUCUUACUAAUCUUGCUUUGUUAUAUUGAACUGUGAAUAGUUUUAUAAAAAUGAUCGUUUGACAGGUACUUUCAGCUUCUGAUGCAUCAUCUAGAUGGAAAAAUAUAGGUUAUCCAUAGAAAUGACGCACACGGGUUAUUAGGGUAAGACUCCGGUGAGUAGGCAUUAGAGACGGCCUACAUGUUUAUGGACUGCAGCAGUUGCGCAAAUUGCCCAAUGUACAUAUGUACGAGGCAGUGACGAAAAAUCUGAAAGUCCUUUUAGGACUAUUUAGCUGACGGCUAUACAAAACAUAGCCAAAAUGCAAUUAGUGGGAGAGCAUGGUGCCAGCAGCCGCGGUAAUUCCAUCACUGAUAGCUUUUUCUUACAUUGCUGCAGUUAAAAAGCUCGUAGCCUGAAAUAUUAUCACUUUGAGAAAAUUGGAGCGUUCAUAGCAGAUUCGUUACACAGUUCAGCAAAGUAUGAUAUGUUUUACGAUUUAUAUGUAGCAAAGGAAUAUCUUGUACUGAUUCGGGAAAGGUGAAAUAUGAUGAUCGAGUCAAGACAAACAACAGCGAAGGCAGGAUAUAAUUUGCUUACAGUUGGUCAAGAGCUAAAGUAUGGGGAUAGAAGAUGAUUAGAAACCGUUGUAUUCUAUACUAUAAACGAUUCUGUCUCAGUAGUAGCAUUUAUAUGUUACCACUCAAGGGAAACCGGAAGGUUUUGAGUUCUGGGGGGAGUAUGUUUGCAAGAAUGAAACUUGAAGGUAUUGACGGAAAGAAGCCACAAGACGUGGAUUCUGCGGCUCAAUUUGAUUCAACACGAUAACCUUACCAGACCCAGAUAUUAAAUGGAGCAACAGAUUGAAAGUUCUUUUGCGAUAUGAUAGUUGGUGGUGCAUGGCCGCUCCUAGUUCGUGGUUUGAAUCGUCUGCCUUAUCGCGUUAACGAGCAAGAUCAACGUCUAUAUUUAGCUUAUAGAGAUUUCCAACGAUGAGUUGGGUGAAAGAGUUGGCUCUAGCAGGUCUGUAAUGCCCUUAGAAACUCUGGGCUGCACGCGUAAUAUAAUGAUUAUGACAAAAGGAUAUCUGCAAAGUAGAAAUGCUGAGCGGUACCUUAAACAUAAUCGUGGUUAGGAUUGAGGUUUGUAAUUCACCUCAUGAAUGAAGAAUGUCUUGUAUAUAUGUUUUAUUAGAGCAUGUAGAAUACACCUCCUUUUUUUGUAUACACCGCCCGUCGCAAAAACCGAUGAGUGUUUUAGUGAGUUUUUAGGAGAUAGAUCGCAAGAUUAAUCGAAUUUGCACGAACUAGAAGGCUUAGAGGA